UAAUACGGGAGGCAGCAGUGGGGAAUAUUGCACAAUGGGCGCAAGCCUGAUGCAGCCAUGCCGCGUGUAUGAAGAAGGCCUUCGGGUUGUAAAGUACUUUCAGCAGUGAGGAAGGUGGGUAUGUUAAUAGCAUACUCAUUUGACGUUAGCUGCAGAAGAAGCACCGGCUAACUCCGUGCCAGCAGCCGCGGUAAUACGGAGGGUGCGAGCGUUAAUCGGAAUUACUGGGCGUAAAGCGCAUGCAGGUGGAUGAUUAAGUCAGAUGUGAAAGCCCGGGGCUCAACCUCGGAAUAGCAUUUGAAACUGGUCAUCUAGAGUACUGUAGAGGGGGGUAGAAUUUCAGGUGUAGCGGUGAAAUGCGUANAGAUCUGAAGGAAUACCGGUGGCGAAGGCGGCCCCCUGGACAGAUACUGACACUCAGAUGCGAAAGCGUGGGGAGCAAACAGGAUUAAAUACCCUGGUAGCCCACGCCGUAAACGAUGUCUACUUGGAGGUUGUGGCCUUGACCCUUGGCUUUCCGAG
rnacentral:rRNA from 1 species